AAGUGACCUGAAAUACAGCAGAAUCCUUUCUCCCAUCGUUCUGCUCAGAGACUUUGGAACCGAUAUCCGAUGUCCAGGUCUGGCUGAAGAGUGCUGGUUCCCAUAAGUGCCACACUGCACAUUGAUGGGUGAUCCCUGGAGUGCAAUACUUCCAUCAAGCACACUGGGAACCCGGCUCUUGCAGCCAAGGAAGCCUGGGAGUCAUAACUGGAGAAUGUGAAGAUAGAAACAAUACUUCUUCAACCCUUGUUCUCCUGUUCCUCACUGUGUAACAGCCUCCAUGAUGAUCUCAGCAUGGACUAGGGAUGCACUCAUACUCAUCCUUCCAGCCUCUGCUUUCCAGGAGCUUGGUGGAGAAGGUGAUUAGAGCUGAUGUUGUUGAUAUAGGUGCAUGGAGGCGAUGUGGCUGGGCAGUUACAGGAGGUAGUUAGUGACAAGGAGUCCUUAAGGUCUUCCCUCUUCUCCACUGCCCUCCCCGAGCUGUUCUUCUGGGGUGUUCAGGCAACAACUAGCUUUUUCCCAGGUAUACACAUCAAGCAGAGCAUUGUGAUCAAUCCUGAUGACCCCCUAAAACUGAGGUUUUUACAGUGUAAUAAUAAUUGAUGUUUGACAAAGUGCUCAGUAGUCUCUAAAAUUGGAAGAUAUCUUUUACUGAGGCCUAGAUAGGUCAUCCUUAGCAGAGAUCACCCAAACAAUGUGACUUAAACCAGAUUUCAUUCAGUAAUUUAUCAGUAUUAUUGAACACUACAUCUGAAACUAAUGAUGUCCUGUAAGUUGGCUAAUAGAAUUUAAAUAAAAAUAAAAAAAAAUAAUUAAAACACAAACAAAAAACCCUCAGAUUUCGUGACUCUAAAUUCCAUGGUUCUUUUCACUCUCUGUGACACCUUUCCAGU